rnacentral:rRNA from 1 species
AACGAACGCUGGCGGCAUGCCUAACACAUGCAAGUCGAACGAGACCUUCGGGUCUAGUGGCGCACGGGGGCGUAACGCGUGGGAACCUGCCCUUAGGUUAGGAAUAACUGCCCGAAAGGGGUGCUAAUACCGGUUAAUGUCUUCGGGGCAACGAUUUAUCGCCUUUGGAUGGGCGCGGGUUGGCUUAGCUAGUUGGUAGGGUAAAAGCAUACCAAGGCGACGAUCCAUAGCUGGUGUGUUAGGAUGAUCAGUCAGACUGGGACUGCGACACGGCCCAGUCUCCUACGGGAGGCAGCAGUGGGGAAUAUUAGACAAUGGACGAAAGCGUAACCAAGCAAUGCCGCGUGAGUGGUGCAGGCCUUAGUGUUGUAAAUCUCUUUUACCCGGGAUGAUAGUGACAGUACCGGGAGAAUAAGCACCGGCUAACUCCGUG